AAAGGAAGAAAAGAAAGAACCAAACCCCAGGUGGAAAAAUUCAAGGGAAAAGUGUGAAAAUUCAAAGAAUCAAGUGACAAAAGGUAAGAUUUUUCAAUUCUAGCUUGUGAUCUACCUUUCCUAUGCAUUCUUUUUCAUUUUUCAUGGAUGAGAAUCAAGUUUGCAUGAGGGUACCCUUGCUGGCCGGACUUGGGGGGAGGAGUUUUGAUGCUUGAUUUGGUUAGAUUUUAAAAUAUUUUAGUGUUUUUAGUUAGUUAGUGAUGUGUAGCAUGAAAAUCAAGCAAGAAAAAUUCAUUUUCUCCCAUUACCCAUCAUUGGCCAAAUUUUCCAUGUAGAGUGUGGAUGGUGGAUUUGAUUUUAUUUCAAGUGAAUUGGUUAGGAAAUGGUGAAUUACGGUGAGAAAAUCAAGUAGGAAAAAUCAUAGUGUUGAUGCACCCACCAUGGCCGAAAUUUCCAAGAGAAAAUGUGAAGAUGAUUUUGCUAAAUUUUAUGCUAUUUGACUUGUGUUUGAUGGUUUGGAGAAUUGGAAGAAAAAUGGAGUUAAUUGGAGUUGAAUUGGAAAUAUUGGCCAAUUAAUCGGGUGAUAGAUCGAAUUAGGCCAAUACCGUUUUAUUUGGGUACACAAUUUAAUUUGUGUAGAACACCGUGUUUAGACGAUAAUCCGAACAAUUUGCAUUCCAUUUCAUGCAUCCAUAUAGUUUUAUAACGGUUUAGCACCAAUGUGGUAAAUUGCUUGAUUGUGCAUUAUGUCUAGAUGGUGAAUCCUCUGAUAAGGGCAAAGAAAUUGUACCCGAGGAUCAAUAGUCAGAGUACUCUAAAAAUUUGACUCUUGAAAUAGUGAGUAACCUUAUCAUCAUUUUAAUUAUCUAAAGUGGUCUUUUUAUUCAAUUUUGUGAAUGUUAUGAAAAAUAAGUUAAAUGGUCAAUUUUUAGGUUUUAUAAACAAAAUGUGUUUAAAUGAAAUGAUUUUAUAAAUUAUCUUGAAAUUGAAUGAUGGCUUUGAAAAUAGAGUAAUUGGAGACCAUUUGAUGUAUUGUGAAUUUAUGGUUCUAAUUGAUUGGUUUAUGGUAAUAUUGGCAUGAAUGGCUGAAUUGGUAUUUGUGUUGAAAAUGUAUAAAUUGUUGUUUGCCUUUAUAGGCUGGAUAAUGAUAAAAUUGCCAUGUCAUGCUAUUGAAUUUUUAUUGUAUGGUGGGUUUAGCUUGCUGCAGUGGGCGGGUUCUAUGGACCAGCUUAUUAGAGGGGCACGGAAUUCUAUUAUAUAUGUACCUUGGUCGAAGAGGCGCGUAGGGUAUCUCCUGAGGUAUGGUAAGAGUUCACAUCAUGCUGAACCACCUCGUGAUGAUGAACUCCGUUAACGCCAAGGAACGACUGUGUUUUUCAAACUAAAAAUAUGUUUAUAUGUAUAUGACUUUUUAACAGCCUUGGCAGACUCGGUUAAAUGCCUCGACCAAGGUAUUCCCGAGAAUGAUUUUGGCAAAAGCCAAGCUUUUAAGAUACUCAUAAGCCAUGUUGAUUAUUUAAAUGAAAUGAAUAUUUAUGUUAUGAAAUACAUAUUGAGAUGGAAUAUUUUUAUCGUCUCCAUUUACUCGACUUUAGAUAUUUUGGAUGGUGUCUGU
rnacentral:lncRNA from 1 species